CAGUAGCCGCGGUAAUACGUAGGGCGCGAGCGUUGUCCGGAAUCAUUGGGCGUAAAGCGCGUGUAGGCGGCUGAGUAAGACUGCUGUGAAAGUCCAGGGCUCAACCCUGGAAUGUCGGCGGAUACUGCUCAGCUGGAGUACGGGAGGGGCGAGUGGAAUUCCUGGUGUAGCGGUGGAAUGCGCAGAUAUCAGGAGGAACACCUAUGGCGAAGGCAGCUCGCUGGAACGUUACUGACGCUGAUGCACGAAAGCUAGGGGAGCGAACAGGAUUAGAUACCCCAGUAGUCCCUGUCUCUUAUAA
rnacentral:rRNA from 1 species